AAGCAGCACAUGGGAAAUCAUUCGAUUGAAGAAUCUGCUGGUUCUCCAAUGGAUGUCCACAUGAAUUCUCAAUUAUUCUUCGCAUCAUUAUCGAUCCAGGAUGGCCUAACCGUUCAUGCCAAACAACAAAGUUAUUGUGAUUCGUUAGCUUUUUAUUAACAACCACAUUUGUUUCAAUUGUUCUAAUUCUCGUGUAGUACAAACCAGAGGAAAAAGCUGGUAAUUUUUCUAAUACUCUUUUAUAACCCG
rnacentral:lncRNA from 1 species